GGAGCUUGCUCCCGGAUGUUAGCGGCGGACGGGUGAGUAACACGUGGGUAACCUGCCUGUAAGACUGGGAUAACUCCGGGAAACCGGAGCUAAUACCGGAUAGUUCCUUGAACCGCAUGGUUCAAGGAUGAAAGACGGUUUCGGCUGUCACUUACAGAUGGACCCGCGGCGCAUUAGCUAGUUGGUGAGGUAACGGCUCACCAAGGCGACGAUGCGUAGCCGACCUGAGAGGGUGAUCGGCCACACUGGGACUGAGACACGGCCCAGACUCCUACGGGAGGCAGCAGUAGGGAAUCUUCCGCAAUGGACGAAAGUCUGACGGAGCAACGCCGCGUGAGUGAUGAAGGUUUUCGGAUCGUAAAGCUCUGUUGUUAGGGAAGAACAAGUGCAAGAGUAACUGCUUGCACCUUGACGGUACCUAACCAGAAAGCCACGGCUAACUACGUGCCAGCAGCCGCGGUAAUACGUAGGUGGCAAGCGUUGUCCGGAAUUAUUGGGCGUAAAGGGCUCGCAGGCGGUUUCUUAAGUCUGAUGUGAAAGCCCCCGGCUCAACCGGGGAGGGUCAUUGGAAACUGGGAAACUUGAGUGCAGAAGAGGAGAGUGGAAUUCCACGUGUAGCGGUGAAAUGCGUAGAGAUGUGGAGGAACACCAGUGGCGAAGGCGACUCUCUGGUCUGUAACUGACGCUGAGGAGCGAAAGCGUGGGGAGCGAACAGGAUUAGAUACCCUGGUAGUCCACGCCGUAAACGAUGAGUGCUAAGUGUUAGGGGGUUUCCGCCCCUUAGUGCUGCAGCUAACGCAUUAAGCACUCCGCCUGGGGAGUACGGUCGCAAGACUGAAACUCAAAGGAAUUGACGGGGGCCCGCACAAGC
rnacentral:rRNA from 1 species